GACGAACGCUGGCGGCAUGCUUAACACAUGCAAGUCGAACGGAAAGGCCCUGCUUUUGUGGGGUGCUCGAGGGGCGAACGGGGGAGUAACACGUGAGUAACCUGCCCUUGACUUUGGGAUAACUUCAGGAAACUGGGGCUAAUACCGGAUAGGAGCUACUGCUGCAUGGUGGGGGUGGGAAAGUUUCGGCGGUUGGGGAUGGACCGGCGGCAUAUUAGCUUGUUGGUGGGGUAGUGGCUUACCAAGGCUAUGACAGGUAGGCUGUCUGAGAGGGUGAGCGGCCACAUUGGGACUGAGCUACGGCCCGGACUCCUACGGGAGGCAGCAGAGGAGAAUAUUGCACAAUGGGCGGAAGCCUGGUGCAGCAACGCCGCGUGCGGUAUGACGGCCUUCGGGUUGUAUUGCGCUUUCGUCUGUGACGAAGCGUGAGUGACGGUAAUGGGUAAAGAAGCACCGGCUAACUACGUG
rnacentral:rRNA from 1 species